GGAAGUAAAAGUCAUAACAAGGUCUCCGUUGGUGAACCAGCGGAGGGAUCAUUACAGGACCCGCAAGACUCCUACAACCCUGUGAACUUAACUAUAAGCACGUUGCUUCGGCGGGUGUCUCGGAGGGGGUUCUCCCUCCCCGAGACGCUAAACCCGCCGGCAGCCUACUAUACUCUGUCUCUUUGCGUUGGCAUCUCGAGUACAAUCAAACAAGUUAAAACUUUCAGCAACGGAUCUCUUGGUUCUG
rnacentral:misc_RNA from 1 species